rnacentral:rRNA from 1 species
UUAGUGGCAGACGGGUGAGUAAUGCAUAGGAAUCUACCUAGUAGUAUGGGAUAGCCACUAGAAAUGGUGGGUAAUACUGUAUAAUCCCUGCGGGGGAAAGAUUUAUCGCUAUUAGAUGAGCCUAUGUUAGAUUAGCUAGUUGGUAGGGUAAAGGCCUACCAAGGCAGUGAUCUAUAGCUGGUCUGAGAGGAUGAUCAGCCACACUGGAACUGAGAUACGGUCCAGACUCCUACGGGAGGCAGCAGUGGGGAAUAUUGGACAAUGGGCGCAAGCCUGAUCCAGCUAUGCCGCGUGAGUGAGGAAGGCCUUAGGGUUGUAAAACUCUUUCAGUGGGGAAGAUAAUGACGGUACCCACAGAAGAAGUCCCGGCAAACUCCGUGCCAGCAGCCGCGGUAAUACGGAGGGGGCAAGCGUUGUUCGGAAU